rnacentral:rRNA from 1 species
CUACGUGCCAGCAGCCGCGGUAAUACGGAGGGUGCGAGCGUUAAUCGGAAUAACUGGGCGUAAAGGGCACGCAGGCGGCUAUUUAAGUGAGGUGUGAAAUCCCCGGGCUUAACCUGGGAAUUGCAUUUCAGACUGGGUAGCUAGAGUACUUUAGGGAGGGGUAGAAUUCCACGUGUAGCGGUGAAAUGCGUAGAGAUGUGGAGGAAUACCGAAGGCGAAGGCAGCCCCUUGGGAAUGUACUGACGCUCAUGUGCGAAAGCGUGGGGAGCAAACAGGAUUAGAUACCCUGGUAGUCCACGCUGUAAACGCUGUCGAUUUGGGGAUUGGGCUUUAAGCUUGGUGCCCGUAGCUAACGUGAUAAAUCGACCGCCUGGGGAGUACGGCCGCAAGGUUAAAACUCAAAUGAAUUGACGGGGGCCCGCACAAGCGGUGGAGCAUGUGGUUUAAUUCGAUGCAACGCGAAGAACCUUACCUACUCUUGACAUCCAUGGAAUCUUGUAGAGAUACAGGAGUGC